GAUGAACGCUGGCGGCGUGCCUAAUACAUGCAAGUCGAGCGAACAGACGAGGAGCUUGCUCCUCUGACGUUAGCGGCGGACGGGUGAGUAACACGUGGAUAACCUACCUAUAAGACUGGGAUAACUUCGGGAAACCGGAGCUAAUACCGGAUAAUAUAUUGAACCGCAUGGUUCAAUAGUGAAAGACGGUUUUGCGGUCACUUAUAGAUGGAUCCGCGCCGCAUUAGAUAGUUGUUAAGGUAACGGCUUACCAAGGCAACGAGGCGUAGACGACGUGAGAGGGUGAUCGGCCACACUGGAACUGAGACAGGGUCCAGACUCCUACGGGAGGCAGCAGUAGGGAAUCGUCCGCAAUGGGCGAAAGCUUGACGGAGCAACGCCGCGUGAGUGAUGAAGGUCUUCGGAUCGUAAAACUCUGUUAUUAGGGAAGAACAAAUGUGUAAGUAACUAUGCACGUCUUGACGGUACCUAAUCAGAAAGCAACGGCUAACUACGUG
rnacentral:rRNA from 1 species